rnacentral:snoRNA from 1 species
CGGGCAACAUGAUGAGCCUUUUUCAAAAUUAAUACAGUUAUCCCUGUCUUAAUCACACUGUGUUGAGGAUGUAUACUCUGAUUACAAU